rnacentral:rRNA from 1 species
UAGGGAAUCUUCCGCAAUGGACGAAAGUCUGACGGAGCAACGCCGCGUGAGUGAAGAAGGAUUUCGGUUCGUAAAACUCUGUUGUUAGGGAAGAAAAAAUGUAUAGUAACUAUAUACAAAAGAGACGGUACCUAACCAGAAAGCCACGGCUAACUACGUGCCAGCAGCCGCGGUAAUACGUAGGUGGCAAGCGUUGUCCGGAAUUAUUGGGCGUAAAGCGCGCGCAGGUGGUUUAGAAAGUCUGAUGUGAAAGCCCACGGCUCAACCGUGGAGGGUCAUUGGAAACUAAUAAACUUGAGUGCAGGAGAGAAAAGUGGAAUUCCUAGUGUAGCGGUGAAAUGCGUAGAGAUUAGGAGGAACACCGGUGGCGAAAGCGGCAUUUUGGCCUGCAACUGACACUGAGGCGCGAAAGCGUGGGGAGCAAACAGG